rnacentral:rRNA from 1 species
AACGAACGCUGGCGGCAGGCCUAACACAUGCAAGUCGAGCGCUCUCUUCGGAGGGAGCGGCGGACGGGUUAGUAACGCGUGGGAACGUGCCCUUCUCUGCGGAAUAGCCACUGGAAACGGUGAGUAAUACCGCAUACGCCCUUCGGAGGAAAGAUUUAUCGGAGAAGGAUCGGCCCGCGUUAGAUUAGAUAGUUGGUGGGUAACGGCCUACCAAGUCUACGAUCUAUAGCUGGUUUUAGAGGAUGAUCAGCAACACUGGGACUGAGACACGGCCCAGACUCCUACGGGAGGCAGCAGUGGGGAAUCUUAGACAAUGGGCGCAAGCCUGAUCUAGCCAUGCCGCGUGUGUGAUGAAGGUCUUAGGAUCGUAAAGCACUUUCGCCAGGGAUGAUAAUGACAGUACCUGGUAAAGAAACCCCGGCUAACUCCGUG